AGAAACUUAGGUUGAACUAAACCAGGGGCCUUCAAAGCCCCAAACAGGGGACGUACCCCUAGCUUCUG
rnacentral:tRNA from 1 species